rnacentral:rRNA from 1 species
AUGGCAUCUCUCCCUGUUCCGAGUGUGCAGGCCAUGGUGGCGGCCACCGGCGGAGCCGACGUGCCGCCAAGGUAUCUCCGGCCGGCAGAGCCGGUCGCUGGCGACAGCGAGGCCCAGAUCCCCAUCAUCGACUACCAGAUGCUCUGUAACCACAGCGUCCCAGACGAUGUGGUAGAGGGAAUGAAGGCCAGCAUCCAGCAGUUCUUUCAGUUACCCAUGGAGACGAAGAAACAGUUUGCUCAGGAGCGAGGGCAGCUGGAAGGCUACGGUCAACUAUUCGUUUUCUCCGAGGAUCAGAAGCUGGAUUGGGCUGACAUACUUUACCUCCACACGCAGCCACAUGAGAGCAGGAACACCAAGCUCUGGCCAGACCAGCCUGCCAACUUCAGAUCAACGCUGGAUAGAUAUUCUGAUGCUGUGAAGGACGUAUCAGACUCGCUUUUGGCCACAAUGGCGAAGAACUUGGGACUGGAAAGAGAAGUGAUCACUGGCAAAUGCAUCCAUGGAAUGCAGUCUGUCAGAAUGAACUACUACCCCCCAUGUGCCCAAGCAGAGAAAGUCGUUGGCUUAUCCCCGCAUUCUGAUGCUGGUCUCCUAACCCUCGUCCUCCGAGUGAAUCAUGUCCAGGGCCUGCAGAUCAAGAGGAACGGCAGCUGGCUUCCUGUCAAGCUUGUCUCGGGCGCUUUCAUCGUCAACAUCGGAGAUAUGCUUGAGGUCUUCACAAACGGGAGGUACAAGAGCAUCGAGCACCGGGCGGUUGUCCACCCGAAGGAGGAACGGCUGUCGGUCGCAGCGUUCCACUUACCAAACAUCCACGCCAUUAUAAGUCCGCUGAAGGAGAUGGCGGCACAUGAAGACGAUGCCUACAGGACGUUGGACCAUGAGAGCUUCAUGAAGCUUUUCUACGCAACGAACCUCGAGGGGAAGAGCUUCUUGGAGCGGCUGAAGCUAAACUAG